UUUUUUUUUUUUUUUUCGUUAGUUAUUUAUAAUCAUCUUUUACAAAUAUGAUCGUUAAGGGGUAGUUUUGAUUUGUAUAAAAUGCUUGGAGCUCUAUUUUUCAGAUUUGAUGGAAGGUAUUUGCAGUUUAAUAGAUGGCAAGUGAUAGUGUUAUUAUCCAAAUGACAUUUCUAUGUUGGAAGCGACUUGUCAAUUAGACGAUUCGAUCUUUUUGAGAUUUAUCGAUUCGAUGUUGAUUUAAUCUCUUUGUGAUUUAUCGAUUUGUCUGACUUGUUUUGCGUUUGAACGAUCUAUCCAACGUAAUUUAAGGCGUAAUUCAUAUGAAUUAGUUUAUAUAACGUAAAUGUUUGAACUGAUACAAUAUAUAAAAUUUUGCAUUCAUAGAUUUUUCUAAAUAGGGAUGAAUCUGAUGUAUAUGUAUGAAUAUCUUUUUUUCAUUCUACGGCUCCUCUCAUUUAUGUAUGUAAUUCGUGUAAACUAAUUUAUAUAAAUUAAGAAAUUUGGAUUGGUACAAUAUAUAAAAUUUUAUAUUCAUAGAUUUUUCUAAAUAGGAAUGAUUCUAAUUUAUAUGUAUAAAUCUCACUUUUUUAAUUCUAAGGCCUCUCUCGCCUAUGCCAAGCUGUGAACGUCGAGGCCUUAUUAUUCUCUUGCCUUUUGUUGUCGAUGGAGGUUCCAUAUGCUAUCUACUAUGCUUAGUGUCCCGCUAAAGUUUCAGACCUUAUGACCUUUUUGGGAUUUGACAAUGGUGAUUGUCUUGCUGCUCUUUGCAGUCGACACUAUGGGCUGGCAGUGUGAGCAGUGUGCGGUAAUGGUGAAACAUGACGCGUUGGAGGGUGAACAGAGAGACACUAGCUUCAUUAAUAGUUGGAUUAGGAUUUUGGAUUUAUAGGUUUGUGUUUAUCUAUUUACAUGUGUACCUAUGUGUUCGCAUUAAUUUCUUUUAAAUUCAUAUAAAUAAUUUCAGUAUUAACAAAUAAACUUUAUAUUUUUUAAAUUUAUUUAAAACAUUAAAUUUGAAUUUUAUCAAACAUUACCAUUUCAUAUAUUUAGCUACUAAUACUCAAGGAAAAUAUCAAAAUAUUCUUAUCCAAAAAGAAUAUUUUUAUUUUAAGGAAGGGAAUAUUUAAAAAUAUUUAAAAAUAUUUCUGUACAUCACCCAAUUCAAAAAAAGACCAGAACUGGACCUCUCGCUUGCGUGUAGAGUGACCAUAUUAGCAGCGGCACCGCUACUUCAGCUAGCUAUCAUUCGAAAAAAGCUAAAAUAGUAUGGCUUCCAAAGUGAUCAGCAUGCUUGUCCCGUUCUAUGUAUAAAUCCAGACCUCCUAAUCCAAAGCCUAUCCCCACCCAAAACCAACCAAUUUUCUGAUCACCAAAUACGAACUCCCCCUUAGUAAUCAUCCUAUCCAAUAUAAACCAAAACAAAUUGGCUACAUCCUCGUGUGGUGUCCUCGCCAUUUAGCUAUACUCAAUAAUUUAUGCUCAUCCUGUUUGUGUUUUGGAGUCUCCAGCCUUUUUUAGUUGCUUUUUUGGUUGUCACUGGCUAUUUGCAUAGUGGCACUUUGUUCUGGGUUUUGGAUUUUGCUUUUGUGUAGAUGUCUUUGCUCCGCUGAGUUUGUUGAAUGCCAGUGAUUUGAGGAUUUUUCCUCUCUGGGACAACUUUGGAUUGGGCUGAGGGUUUGGGUGAUUUGAAUAUCGAUAGCUGCGCUUGGAUGCUACUUCUUUAUUGUGCUGGCCUGAAUGAAUUCUAUUAUUCAAACUAUUUUACAUUUAUUUACCUAGUAAAUUAAUGUGCGAAAAUACACAUUAAAAAAUAAAAAAGUGUGACAAAUAAUAAUUAUAAUAUUAUUUUUAUAACAAAUUUUAAUUUAUUUUUAUUUUCGUAUUAUGGCAGUUCCACAUAUUAAUUUUAUCAAAUAUUUAAUCAAAAACUGUUUUUAGAAAUUUUCAUUUUUUAAAGAUGGAAAAUUUUGUGCUAAUAAAUUACAGAGGCUGAAGUAUAGCAAGUGGAACUUGCAUGACUCGGAGUGGCUUAUAUAUAUAUGGGCCAUUUGGCAAUUGUGGCUAAUGCGUGUCAAGAUAAGCAGUCAACAGGCACCGUUGCUUUUUUCUAGGGAAUAGUGGUGGAGCUGUGUGCCUACUCUUUCUGCGGCUUUGCUAUCUUCUUAUGCUUGUGGCUAUGGCUCUGGUUCUGGUUCGAAAUUGGAUUUGAGUGAAGGUGUAACACUUCAAGUGGCUUCUUGUCUCCUUCCUUCGGAUGUUGUCAUGUGUGGAUGUGUAAUAGUGCAAGUGGCUGCCCCAGCCCUUUCUACGCCAGGCCUCAUUUCUCAUAACCCCAUCAAACACCUAGCCAAUGCAAUUAUGCAAAAGCCAUUAACUUUAUGCAAGAUUAGGAAGGAAUCGAUCUCAAUUUCUAGAAGCACUUUAUGCCCUUCAAGCUUUACUUGGCCAUCAGUCUUUUCUUAUAUAACCCCAUAGUCCCAAGAUUCUUUGCUUUUUCUCUCUUCAUUUCUGGUUUUUUCCAUCAAAAGAAUUAACAGCUACUGGAAGAGGGAAGAGUUUGAAGAAAAAUGUGUUACUCAGUUAUGCCUUUUGUCACCCACGCAAGGACCGCGGAGGAGGAGCAAAGGUGGCUGGUUUUCCAAGCAGUUGAGACAACAGGGGCUGAACCAGCAAGGACAGAAACGUCUGGCGGUGAUGGUGGUGGCUCGAUGAAGAAGUGUGUAUGUUCACCAACGAGGCAUCCAGGGUCCUUCAGGUGCAGGCACCACCAUGGUGAUUAUGAGUGGGGUCGUAGAAUAACAAAGAAGUGAGUACGUUAUGUGAUUAUAAUUAUAAACAUCUAAUUCAACUGUAUAAAACUCUAAAUAACGAUUUGGCUGUUUUAUCUUAUGUUUCUUCUUUACACUAUUUGCUGGAUGCCUAACCCUAAUAUUUCUCUUUGUUUUUUCCCACUCCUUUGUCUCUGCUGCUCUCUGUCAUAGCAAGAUUUUUCCAAAGAUAGGUAAAGAAUUUCGUUUUUCAAAAUGGAUGAUUUUGCUUUGCAGAGAAUUACCCAUCAUAGCAUCUUAGUAGAACAAUAGUGCAUGCAAGUUUGCAAUAGCUGAUCUCAGAGUCGCUGAAUUUGAAUACGGCGAUCAAAUUUCCUUGAACCCUUUAUUGUUCAGGUGCAGCACCAUAGAAAAUUCAUAUAUUUUUGUAUAAUUCUUAAUAUUAUUAUUCAAUUGGGCCAUUCAUAAGCAACUAAGCAGGUCCAACAUUCGAUUAGUCCAAACAAGGCCGACAAGGCCAAGCCUAACUGGGAUGUCGCUGAACGUAUUUUUUGUGAAUGACUGUAAUGUUGACUCCUGAAAAGCCUCCAUUUUUACUGGAAAAAAGUUAAUCAGUGUACUCAUGUGGAUCCAAGUCCAACCAUGGGAACCAGCAUAAACAGGAGCAACAAGCCUCCAAAUGAAUAUAAUUUAAUAACUCAUAAAGUUAAAAUACAUAGAUACUGUUGUUCCUUGGUAAAUGAAUCCUUUGUACAGACAAGCAAUUGACGGAUACAAUUACUAGUCUACUUGCUCAAACGGCUAUUGGAAACGUCAAAAUAUUUACCUUCCACUAUAUAUUCACGACGGAAGAUGCUCCUCCAUGUCCUUCCACUUCAAGACAAUCUGCCAGUCUUGAAGAAAAUGAUGACGCCCCCACCAUAUCACUGAAAAAAAUCAGAAGCAAGUUUGUUCAUUAGCAAUACAGCCUAGACAAUGGUAAAAUAUCUAGUACUACUAAUAUAUGAGCAAAACCAACUUCAGGUUCUAGUCAUAUAUACUGAUUUGCACCGUUCAAUCACAUUAAAUAUUGAAAAUCAAUUGAAAACCACUCAAAAAGUGAAUCAGAAACCGUACUUUUUAUGGCAUUCAACUAUUUGAGUAUCAAAAUCAAAGAGCAUGAAGAAUGUUGAAAAUCACAUAUAUUGACACUUGACAGGAACACUAAUGGCAUUGAGGGUCAUCAAUAUGCAUGCAACUUAUACAGUAAUUGCAUCAAUAAUUCAAAUUAAUGAUUCCAGCUUAUUUAUCAUAAAGAAAAAAGAUUUCCUUACCUCAGGGUAACAGUCUUGACGGACAAUUGUCUGGUUGGCAGUAUUCACAUACACUUCACAUGACACUCUUCCCUGAAAUAUUUUCGAAAGCAUAAAUUACACUUACUGAGAAAUUGCAUACCGUCAAGCAUGAAGAAUAAGCAAAAAAGAUGAGAGACAGCAAGAGAAUAAUCAAAGUUAGUGAUGGAACAACUUUACCACUCGCAACUAAUAACUCCAAAAAAAAAAAAUAAUAAUAAUAAUAAAAAGUUCAUCCAGCUAUCUAACACAACAAAGCUUAAAUGCACAAGUGCAUUUUCGCAGCGGCAGGUUUGUUCUCGUAUUGGAUAAAACACACAGAUUGAUGCAAAUAUACGCUAGGGUAAGCAGAUGCAGGGCAGGCAUCCUCAAUGUAUACAGAUACUACUACAGUUUCUAAGUCUAUUACUCAUCCAUCAUUCUACUGCUCUAAAUUGUUCGGAAUUGGAUGACCACUAAAGACUCCACGGAGUUGUAUUUAUGUGGGCAACUACCUAUCAAUCUGUCCAUAGUCAAGACUCAAGAAUUGAUUAAAACCAUUAUGAAAAAGAGUGCCACAUUCAUGUCAUUCUUAUUGAUCAUUCCACCUUGAUCUACUGCAUUUUAAGAAUUAAGCAACACGUAAGCUUAUUUUAUCUAUUCUUAAAACAAAAGUUUUCAAGGGUUCUCCAUAGUGAUACAAUAAUGGUACCCCCUAUUCACUAUCCAGGGACUAACAGCAUUCAUGUAUGAAGUGAGUUUCAUUCAAAAUAAUGACAAUAAGCUUCCUGUUAAGCUGAGAUUUAUUGUUACGAGCAAAUUUCACUGCUGCAACUCAAAUUAGUACAAUAAACUUCGCUUCUGAUAAAAUAACUACACACCACCACAAAAUUGCUUAUCCCACCAAAUUCUACAUCUUUGCUUGCAGAUUCCCAUUCCCUUCAUCGUUAAAGAUAAUCCAAAUUUCCCCAAUUCAAACAUUCACCAUUAAACAACAGUUUGUAGCGUAAAAAUUAACGAAUCCAAAACGCAUUUUAAGGCAAAGAAGCAAAGAAUCAAGAGAAGUGUAAGGAGAAAGAGGUAACCUUAAUGGGAAGUUUGAAAAACAAGAGCCCAAGCUCUCCAUUGGCCUUGGUAUUGGUAUCAAAGGGGAUAAUACCCCUAGCCAAAUCCUCGAUCAAGUAAAACACAUCGUGUAUAACCUGAAGCCCAUUCAAAUCAAGCGUGGCAUUCACGUACGACGAUCCUCUCGCUCUAAGUUUCCCUCCCUGAGAAUGCACAAGCCCUAGCUCUCUCCCUCUGUACCCAACCGAGACAUCGAGAGAGUCAUAGUCUAACGAGAAGAAAUCCCUGUUUCGGACCAUGAUAACUACAGAGAAGGAGAGGUCGAGAGUAAGUGUCGGAUACGAGUUGACAUGGACGUGAUUGAGUCGAAUUCGUGUGACUUGGAGAGUAGGAUCAGAGGGAUAUAGAAAGAAAACGGCAGCAGAGAGGAGGAGUAUGGCGAAAGUGAAGAAGAUGCAGCGGCGAAUGAAGACGAUCUGGGGGUCGGGUGGAGGGCGGUAGUAGGAUAAAACGAUGACGUUUUGAGGAACACGGUGGGAAGGUAGAGCAGUGUACGGGACGGAGGAGCAUUUGGAGGCCAUGGUUUUAGAUUUUGGAGGUAACGUUGGUCGAUAUUGUCUUCUGCUCCAGCUGUGCUUAAUAAUGAUCGCUAAACCAAACACUCGUUUGUGUGCAAGUUAACUUUUGGUGCGUAUUUUCUGAUGUGGCGACGUCUUACUGGUCAUUUUUUCAUGUAAUCCAAAAGAAUUGAAAUUGAAUCUAAAAUAAGUUUAAUUUAGAGAGAUUUACACUUUACUCUUUUAACUCAACCAUUACUAAUAAGUCUAUUUUUAUACAUUUGAAAAAAUUUAUUAAAAUAUUAUUAUUUUUUUCUUCAUCAAUAAAAUAAUUUUUUCAUUCAGUUAAAAAUAUAAAAAAAAUUAAAUUAUUUUUUCUCUUACUUUUUCUUUUUCAUUGAUUCUUUCUCAUUUUGUUCUUCUUCUUUGAUAGAUAUAAAAAAAAAAACAUAGAGAUUAUUUCGUUAACCAACAAACAUCAUACAAAUAUUUUAAUAAAUAUGAAAAAAAAUAAAUAUAUUUUAAUAAAUUUUUAAAAAUAUAGAAAAAAAUAAUUUUAUUAAUCGAAAAAAACAAUAAAAAUAUUUUAAUAAAUAUAAAAAAAGAUAAAAAUUAUUUUAUUAAUAAAAAAAAAUGAUAAGGAUAUUUUAAUAUAUAUAUAAAAAAAAUAAAAAUAUUUUAAUAAAUUUUUGAAAAUAUAAGAAAUGACUUGUUAAUAAUAGUAAUAUCCGAUAACUAAAUAACAGAUUUUAUUUGAAGGUAAAAUUGAAUUCUAAAAAUUUUUUCUCCCAUCAUUUAUCUAAUUUUUUUAAUUUUAAGGAAAAAAGAGAACAAAAAAAUUAUUUCGUUGAUUAAAAAAAAAAUUUUAAUAUAUUUAUAUUUUUAAAAAUAUAAAUACUGACUUAUUAAUAAUAAUAAUAUUCAUGAACUAAAUUAUAAUUUUUUAAUUUAAUAUAUUUACUAAAAAAUUAAAUUUGUGAAUGAAAAAUAAUGGCUGAAUAGAAAGCAUAAGCUGACUUUUAUGUAAAGAGUAGGUCUAGCCACAGUUUAUUUUUAGCGGUGAAUCGAAUUGAAAUGUUAUAUUAGGUGACCGAUUACAAAUUCUCUUCUUUUAAAUCAAAAUUAAAAUUGGAUCAAAACUUGUUGACUCAUAUCGGCCAUCUGCUUGAUUUCACCUUGAUUUUGAUUUUUUAAAACAGAUCAUUGAAUAGAGUUUUUAAGGUUAGCAGAGAAAGGAAGCAGCUUUUCUUACCGAUUUAUUAUUUAUCUGCAGCCUAGAUAUAAUUGACAGAGAAUGAGAUAAAACACUUCCCAGAGAGCCGUCCCCCUCUUAACAGAGAAGUGAAUUUUCCAGAUACAAGUUUUUAAUAAUAAAUUUAUCAAUUUAGUUCAAUUGAAAUAAACUGUUUUUUUUUUUUCAGUUCAAAAUUAAAAAAAAAAAUAAAUAGAAUGAUUUUCACAAUCAUUCCUAAAUGCCAAAAGCAGUCAUGCUCAGCGACACGUAAGUGUAAAUUGAUAUCUUCUCUAAAAAUCAAAGGGCGUGGUUUUGAAUUUUUGUUUUCCAGUCCCAAUUUUCCAAACGAAUAGACACCCCAAUAAUACGACACCUCAAAAGAUAAGUGUGGUAUGAUAUAGAAAAUCAUAUUUUAGUAAUGACUGGCACCCAGCAAACACCACGCCCAACCAGUUUGUGGAUAAUGAUCCACUAAUAAAUCAGUGGCGGUUGAACUGAUCUCAUCGUUUGAAAAUUUUAAAAAAUAAUUUAUUUAAAGAAAAUAAUUUAUUACUAUAAAUCAAUUUAUUACUAUUAUUACUAUCAUCAUCGUUGUCAUUCUGGAAUAAUUUUUUAUUAUUUAUUUGAUUAAUUAAAAUUUGAAAAAAUAAUUCCAAUAUUAAAUUAAAUCUCAAUAAUCCAAAAUUUUUAAAUUGUAUAUUCUUAAAAUGCAGAAGAUCAUAAUUAAAAAAAAAAUCACACAGAGAAAAUCAUACCCACAGCCAAACACAAGAAAAGAACUACAAACAAAUCACAUAUAUCACAUAUCCUUAUUAAGGAUCGCAAAAUAGAAAUCCUUGAGGUGUUUCUUUCUACAGGGAUUAUUUUCAGGCGCACAAGAUCGGUCACUUGAUGUAUCUAAGACAUCAAACUUCUUAAAAAUCUCAAGUAGACUCAACUGACUUGGGAGAAAGAGAAUUUACAGCGUGAUUUGGGGGCAUAGACUUUGAUCUUUUCAUCCCAGGCGACUUUGACGACGUUGCCCGAUGAAAUCUGCACCUGAACGAUCCUUGAUGCGUCGUCGGCGAACACAAGCAUUGGCCUUUUGGUGAGAUCGACGCCGCCGUGGCUCCUUCUCCUUCGGCGCUGCUUUUCGGAGAGGUAGAAACAGCAAUGCUACUGUGGGAAGCCAUCGUUUAUAUACACAAAUCAGGGAAGUGGAAACGGGCAAAACACUCACCUCCUGUAAAGUUAUAUAUAUAGAGCUGAGCAGAGAUAUGGAUUAGUAUCAAGAUAAUUACAUACUCCUCGAAAAUAGCGUAAGUGGACCGCUCGAUUUGACAUCGAAAUUAAAUUAAAAUUAUUUAAAAAUAAAUUACAUUUACCGG
rnacentral:lncRNA from 1 species